AAUGUUGAAGACAUCUCAAGUUAGCACACAGGAACCUUUGUGAAAGUCUGAAGGGAAGGAAAAAAUAGUUAGAAAUCCAGACGCUGAUAUUUCUUCUUGCUAGAGCAUUUGCACUUAUGACACCUGGUUGUCACAGACAAAAAACGUCAACCAAACUAUGUCCGCAGAUAUUGCUGUUGAAAUGAACUGCAUUAAGCAGGUCCUCACGAAAAGAAGGCUAGUGAGUAUAGAGGAAUGUUCUUCUAAACGAAAAGCUAGCUGGGGUAUUCUGACCAGUCAAGGUUCCUGGGCAGAUCGAUCACCACUACAUGAAGCAGCAAGUCAAGGUCGCCUUCUUGCUCUGAGAACAUUAUUAUCACAGGGUUAUAAUGUAAAUGCAGUAACCUUAGACCAUGUCACCCCAUUGCACGAAGCCUGCCUUGGAGAUCACGUGGCAUGUGCCAGAACUCUGCUGGAAGCAGGAGCUAAUGUAAAUGCAAUCACGAUAGAUGGCGUGACUCCGUUAUUCAACGCAUGCUCCCAAGGCAGUCCAAGCUGUGCAGAGCUGCUUCU
rnacentral:lncRNA from 1 species